GUGAGGAAUAUUGCGCAAUGGAGGCAACUCUGACGCAGCCAUGCCGCGUGCAGGAAGAAGGCGCUACGCGUUGUAAACUGCUUUUAACCGGGAAGAAACCCCAGGACGUGUCCUGGGUUGACGGUACCGGAGGAAUAAGCACCGGCUAACUUCGUGCCAGCAGCCGCGGUAAUACGAAGGGUGCAAGCGUUAUCCGGAUUCAUUGGGUUUAAAGGGUGCGUAGGCGGAGCGUUAAGUCAGUGGUGAAAUCCUGCAGCUUAACUGCAGACUUGCCAUUGAUACUGGCGCUCUUGAGUGCGCUUGAAGUGGGCGGAAUGUGCCGUGUAGCGGUGAAAUGCUUAGAUAUGGCACAGAACACCAAUUGCGAAGGCAGCUCACUAAGGCGAUACUGACGCUGAGGCACGAAAGCGUGGGGAUCGAACAGGAUUAGAAACCCGGGUAGUCC
rnacentral:rRNA from 1 species